UUUGUUUUUCUCGUGAUUGCAUCGCAUACGGCACCGAUGUCCUAGCAAUUGAAUGCGGAGAAAUAAGAUUAGAAAAGCCGAUACUCGCAUUCACUGAAUGCCUGUACAAUUAGAAUUUUUUACAUUAUAAAAAAUAAGGAACGGGUAGAUAUGAUUGACAAUCUUCUAAAUACAUGGUAUGUGGCCCAAAGUAAUAACAUUUGAUCCCAAACCAACGCUGUGAUUUAUAUAUAUGAAGAAGUUAUCACUUGUCUUAGUGAAUGGGAUGGAGCGAGAUUCGAAUCUAAAUUUACAUGCGUGUCGAAUCCACAGAUUUUCUGGAAUCGUAUUGAAAAUCGAUUUCUCUACAUCUUUCACCGAGGCAUUAUUCAUUUACGUUCCUACUAAUUGCAGCAUCCGUAAUAUAAGAUCUACCCUAGGGUGGUCCAAGGUUGCGAGGUUGGUGGGACGCAAAAACUUUUGACGAUGUCUCGCGGGCCACAGUAGAAGAAAACCCAAAAGUGAUAAAACAUCGCGAGUUUACCCAUUUGCUUCUUGAGAAGUAUCGUCGAAUUUUUGGCAUCUUUCCCCAUGUUUGAUUUUUUAAUGUCGCUUAAAAUUAUAUUCGUCCGUGGUAGAUAUUACUUGGAAACACACCAAACACUGUCAUUGAACGUUGUUGUGGAGAAGGAAAUACGUUUCUACUUUCUUGGUAACUUUUUCUACACUUAUUGUAUGAUGAAUUCAUUUAUUUGACUAAUUUUAUUACUUUUAGCGUGACAAGGUCUGGUGGUAACGUCAACGAAAAACAGAACAACCACUAAGUCUGGUCUGCGUUUCGUCAUUGCUGUCACAUGGCCAACGCUUGAAAAUAGAGAAGUGUUUUUACUAAAAUAAAUGCUCAAAACGUCUCUCAAAUUGAGAAGUUACUCAAGGCGAGAUUAAUGUACGAAGUUUAGAUGAAAGCGCGAUUCAUCUCAUCGGCUUGGUCAUGUCUGCACAAGACAAUUCAUUGUCCUUAUAUCGAUCAUUUCCAUCCUGGCAUAGUCUUGACGUUUAUAGAUACAACAUUGAAAUUCCGCGAUUUUACCAAACAUCAAUCUCGACAUCGGGAUUAGGAAAAAGGCCAAUCCCAGUUGGAAUAGUUUAAAAAUAACUCAAAAAUAUUCUGCCAAUAAAUACACAUAUCUACCAAUGGUUUAGUACACGCUAAAAUUGUUCUGCGGGGCGCAAGGAAUGUGUUCUCGGGCCGCGGUGUGAACCACCCUGAUCUACCCUAUAAAGCUCGGUAAAAGCAAUGCCUAAUCAUAAUCAGUUAACCGCUAUCUUGAAAUUCAUACUAACAUACAUUCCUAAAUCAUCAAAGGUUAUUACUGUUCCACCCGAAAGUUGGCCAGGGCAAAUUUGACGUUUUUACGUACACUACGAAGACGCGUCUGACGCAUUACACAAUGGUAUGUUGUGAGUUUGUUGAUUAAUUAUGAUAAUUGGUAAAUUAGAAGCGCAAUGGUUGGAUGUCUUGUCUCAGUCUAGCGCAGUAUUCAGUGUGAAUCAGUGUUUACAGGUUCUGUAUUGUUGGUAGUACUCGCUAUGUAUCUGUUGGAAAUGACAAUUUGUGAGUUUACAAAUUCUUGUAAGAAUUGAUGUUCUCAAGUCUAAUACAAAUAUAAUGUAGGGCAGUAUUACAGUCAACUUAGCGCAGUAACUACUGCUUUAAUAUUUUAUUCAUAAAACUUGGAUUUUAUUUACUCCAAGGCAUAUUUCGUUUGAUUGUGUUACUUGUAGAGUCAAAACAUUAGAUGCCAUGAUCCUGAUUUCAUUCCCAGUUCCAUCGUGUUGACUGUUUUGAACAAACUACACAGAUUUUUAGUUGAAUUUCAUUGGGACAUAGCACUUUACGGCACAGAUAAUAUGCUGGAACCCCUUGCUCUCUAAUAUCAAACACUAGUAACUGGUUCAGAAACAAAUCGUUUUGUUCGUGACAAGACUUGUUUAUUGGGGGUGCGUUGUCGAAGAUCUUCAACCACUAAUAUUUAGCUACGAAUGUAAACUUUUCUUUUCUUUUGAAAAGCCGAGAACAUUUGAAAAAUAUAUUGCAUUUUAAGAAUAUCCUAACGUCAAAGCCAGGAGAAUGAGCAUGUGUUCAAGUAUUCAAAAUGAAAUGAAAAAUACCUAUUGCUUCAAUUAUCACCCUUCCGAAAUUUACAAAACCAUCUACACAGAAAGCUAAACUCACAUCUCCCACUAACCUUUUGAUUUCUGGUUUUCUUCUCUCUAAAGGUAUUUGAGUUUUAAGUCAAUUUCUUAUGCUCCACAUUUUCAGGAAUGUUUGUAAAUGAGCGUUCUUGGCCUGAAUCGCUUGUUUUCUGAAUAAAGGUCCACAAUUCAUAUGUUUUGUUAUAUUCAUUAUGACAUCAUACAAAACCUCUGUCUUAGCAGUUAAAGGUGGAUAAAGACGCCAAAACGGCAAAAUUAUACCCGCAUAUAGAAUAUAUAUCUAGAAGAAAACGAAGUAGCAUAACAAAACAGAUAAUGUUUAAAUUUUAGUACCAUAUUUUAGAUAGGCUGAAGUAUGUUUCGUGAUUAUGGCGUGAUUGUUUCGGCCAUCCACAUAAAAAUGUCGGUUCUUUUAAUCACGCGUGUAUCAAGUCUUGCGAUCUGGUAGAUAUCGAUGUUUAAUUUGUUUUAAUUUAUUGCGGAACUGCGCGUUCUGUUUGACAAAUUCGAAAACUACUGUGCGAUUAUUGUCGACGAGACGCCAGGGAAAUUAUAGAAAUUAAUUUGAAAUCCCUGUCUCCAAAUUAACUUUAUUUUGAUUAUUAUAUUUCGCGUCGGCUUUGAUCUUCCUUAUCGUCACUUUAAAAUGAAAAAGUAAACAAUAUCUUUGCUACUGGCCUCGGGAUUCGUUGUAUUUUCCUGUCACAUCCAUGUUUUUGCAUUAAAUAUAACUCAUGAAAUGUCGUCACUGCGGAUCGGUGAAAAUUUCUGAUAAGAUUGACUCAAUGUUACUUCAUUAAGAACUUGUAUUAAUGUUUCCAAUUUUACAAAACGACCAACUGAAUAAUUAAAAAUCAUGCAACAUUAGGGCGACAUUAUGCUCAUCGAGGAAUUGAAAUAAUAUCAUAUCCACUGGAAAUAAAUAAAAAUAUUAUACCGCAAAUAUAACACUCAAUUCUGACGCCAUUGUCCGUUAGCCAGAAGUGUAUGCUGAUUCUCGUGUCUCAUACGAUGUGCUGUCCAAGCGUUUAAUUCGGCGACGUACAAACGACGUGCCGUGUCCAGGCCACGUGUUGUGUUAACAGAUAUUAGAACAGUAAACUGUUAUUCUAAUAUUCGAUAGGAUAUUCGAAUAUUUUCCCCAACUCGAACUAAACUGAAACUUAUAACCACGCGGACUGCCGACAAAGCCACCCCCAUGAAUAUUCACAGGAAGUCAUCCAUCAAUGAGGCAGAAUCCUGACGCGGGUCGAGUAGGGUCCAAAACUAGUGUCAGAAUUUUUCCUUCCAAGGUUCGGUUCUUUUUCCGCAACUCAACAUCGAGUCAUCAAAGUUUGUGUCUGUAUUCUUUUGUCCUCUUUUCCAAAACUAAUUGCAAAUAGCUUCGGUUUGCUUCGCUCAGUCAAUCGCAAAAAAUCUGGUCCAACUAGCCAUCUGUCAGAAUUCUAUAAAAACUUAGGAAUAUCCAUUCAUCUAGUGCAGUAAUCAGUUGGAUUUUGCGCGGAAUCAGCUUUAAGUAGAACGAUUCUGGCAAUUUUCUUGGAAUGCUUCAAUUAUAUUUGACAGAAUAUUCCAAAUUUGUACAGGGAAUAUUUACAUUCAACAUCUUUGAAUUGACGAGGAAU